rnacentral:rRNA from 1 species
AUUGAACGCUGGCGGCAGGCCUAACACAUGCAAGUCGAACGAGUGGCGGACGGGUGAGUAAUGUCUGGGAAACUGCCCGCUGGAGCGGGAUAACUACUGGAACCGGUAGCUACUACCGAAUACCAUCGGCUGUUCCCCGAGGGGAUUAGCUAGUAGGUGGGGUAACGGCUCACCUAGGCGACGAUCCCUAGCUGGUCUGAGAGGAUGCACAUACACACUGGAACGGAGACACGGUCUAGACUCCUACGGGAGGCAGCAGUGGGGAAUAUUGCACAAUGGGCGCAAGCCUGAUGCAGCCAGGCCGCGUGUAUGAAGAAGGCCUUCGGGUUGUAAAGUACUUUCAGCGAGGAGGCGUUACUCGCAGAAGAAGCACCGGCUAACUCCGUGCCAGCAGCCGCGGUAAUUC